GUACUCUCAAGCUUUGCUUGGUGUUGGGUGCUGUCUAGCAAUUAGACUCGCCUCAAAAGAAUUGGCAGCCAGUGUAUUGGUCUUGAGCGCAGCACAAUUUGCACUUGAGCCAGCUAUUACUGGCGUCCAGAAGCCUUUUUUAAUC
rnacentral:misc_RNA from 1 species